rnacentral:SRP_RNA from 1 species
GCUGGGCAUAGUAGCGUGUGCCUGUAGUCCCAGCUACUGGGGAAGCUGAGGCGGGAGGAUCUCUUGAGCCCAGGGAGGUUAAGGCUGCAGUGAGCUGUGAUUAUACCACUGCACUCCAGCCUGAGUGACAAAGCGAGAUCCUGUCUCAA